ACAGAGGUUGAAGACGAUUGC
rnacentral:siRNA from 1 species